rnacentral:rRNA from 1 species
ACCUCCCAUCCGUGUCUAUUGUACCCUGUUGCUUCGGCGGGCCCGCCGCUUGUCGGCCGCCGGGGGGGCGCCUCUGCCCCCCGGGCCCGUGCCCGCCGGAGACCCCAACACGAACACUGUCUGAAAGCGUGCAGUCUGAGUUGAUUGAAUGCAAUCAGUUAAAACUUUCAACAAUGGAUCUCUUGGUUCCGGCAUCGAUGAAGAACGCAGCGAAAUGCGAUAACUAAUGUGAAUUGCAGAAUUCAGUGAAUCAUCGAGUCUUUGAACGCACAUUGCGCCCCCUGGUAUUCCGGGGGGCAUGCCUGUCCGAGCGUCAUUGCUGCCCUCAAGCCCGGCUUGUGUGUUGGGUCGCCGUCCCCCUCUCCGGGGGGACGGGCCCGAAAGGCAGCGGCGGCACCGCGUCCGAUCCUCGAGCGUAUGGGGCUUUGUCACAUGCUCUGUAGGAUUGGCCGGCGCCUGCCGACGUUUUCCAACCAUUCUUUCCAGGUGACCUCGGAUCAGGUAGGGAUACCCGCUGAACUUAAGCAUAUCA